UUUCCUGAAUCCUGAAAUAGUUUGGGUCCAAUUCUCCCUCAAAGCUAAAGUGACAGAGUCAACAAGUCCAUCAGAACCAAUGGGAAACCGGAGAAACCCAGCAGAAGCCCAAUACAACAAAUGUCAAACAAGAGAAUCCAAGCCAACCAAAAUCAAACCACAAGCAGAAUGCACGGCCAGUGGGGCAAACCUAACAGAACCAAUGUCAAACCAGAGAAUCUACUUGUCUUGCGAAGAUGCUUCAGUGUUGCUGCAUAGUCACAUCAAACUUUCAACUCAGAGUGGAUGCUCAAAUAUAGAGCACCAACCAGCAUACAUUGAGGAACACCAAGACAUAUUCAACAACCUCCCAGCAUUAAAAUAUUGAUACACAUUGUUGUUCCAAGUCUGCUUUGCUUUGUCCUAACAUAUAAAAAGUGGCCAUCAGUUGCUGGUAUCAUCAGUGAACUCACACAUUUGAACAGCAUUAGCAAUUUUCUCAUUUUUUAAAAAAAUUUUUGGUUUUUUGUGGGAAACCUGAAUUGAUGCUUUGGGUGGGUAGAGGCAAAAAUGGGUAGUUGAUCACUCUGUAUUUGGACUGCCCAGAUUGUUGUCCUGUAAUAAACCACAAUAUGUUUACAUAUGUUUA